AUUGAACGCUGGCGGCAUGCCUUACACAUGCAAGUCGAACGGCAGCACGGGGGCAACCCUGGUGGCGAGUGGCGAACGGGUGAGUAAUACAUCGGAACGUGUCCUGUAGUGGGGGAUAGCCCGGCGAAAGCCGGAUUAAUACCGCAUACGCUCUACGGAGGAAAGGGGGGGAUCUUAGGACCUCCCGCUACAGGGGCGGCCGAUGGCAGAUUAGCUAGUUGGUGGGGUAAAGGCCUACCAAGGCGACGAUCUGUAGCUGGUCUGAGAGGACGACCAGCCACACUGGGACUGAGACACGGCCCAGACUCCUACGGGAGGCAGCAGUGGGGAAUUUUGGACAAUGGGGGCAACCCUGAUCCAGCAAUGCCGCGUGUGUGAAGAAGGCCUUCGGGUUGUAAAGCACUUUUGUCCGGAAAGAAAACGCCGUGGUUAAUACCCGUGGCGGAUGACGGUACCGGAAGAAUAAGCACCGGCUAACUACGUGCCAGCAGCCGCGGUAAUACGUAGGGUGCAAGCGUUAAUCGGAAUUACUGGGCGUAAAGCGUGCGCAGGCGGUCCGCUAAGACAGAUGUGAAAUCCCCGGGCUUAACCUGGGAACUGCAUUUGUGACUGGCGGGCUAGAGUAUGGCAGAGGGGGGUAGAAUUCCACGUGUAGCAGUGAAAUGCGUAGGGAUGUGGAGGAAUACCGAUGGCGAAGGCAGCCCCCUGGGCCAAUACUGACGCUCAUGCACGAAAGCGUGGGGAGCAAACAGG
rnacentral:rRNA from 1 species